rnacentral:misc_RNA from 1 species
GAUGAAGAACGUAGCGAAAUGCGAUAAGUAAUGUGAAUUGCAGAAUUCAGUGAAUCAUCGAAUCUUUGAACGCACAUUGCGCCCGCCAGUAUUCUGGCGGGCAUGCCUGUCCGAGCGUCAUUUCAACCAUCAAGCCCCGGGCUUGUGUUGGGGACCUGCGUCCGACGCAGGCCCUGAAAACCAGUGGCGGGCUCGCUGUCCACACCGAGCGUAGUAACUAACCUCGCUAUGGAGUGGCGCGGGCGCCUGCCGUAAAACCCCCAAUUUCACAAGGUUAACCUCGGAUCAGGUAGGAAUACCCGCUGAACUUAAGCAUAUCAAUAAGCGGAGGA